rnacentral:rRNA from 1 species
UAGGGAAUAUUGGGCAAUGGGGGCAACCCUGACCCAGCCAUGCCGCGUGCAGGAGGAAGGCCCUCUGGGUUGUAAACUGCUUUUGGGAGGGGACAAAAGGCCCAUGCGUGGGAGAUUGAGUGUACCUCCAGAAUAAGCACCGGCUAACUCCGUGCCAGCAGCCGCGGUAAUACGGAGGGUGCGAGCGUUGUCCGGAUUUAUUGGGUUUAAAGGGUGCGUAGGCGGCCGCCUAAGUCGGGGGUGAAACCCACGGGCUCAACCCGUGGAGUGCCCCCGAUACUGGGCGGCUUGGGUCGUCUCUGGGCGGGCGGAAUGGAAGGUGUAGCGGUGAAAUGCAUAGAUAUCUACCAGAACGCCGAUAGCGAAGGCAGCUCGCUGGGGACGUACCGACGCUGAGGCACGAUAGCGUGGGGAUCAAACAGGAUUAGAUACCCCCGUAGUCC